ACAGUACAACAGCAGUAGCCGUGGGGUCAGCCAAGUACGGAGCAGGCUCUGGUCCUAUUCUGUUCAGUGACCUGCGGUGUGUGGGGAACGAAACCAGCCUGGCGCAGUGUAGACACUGGGGACUCUACAGACACGACUGUGAACAUUGGCAGGAUGUCGGCGUCAUGUGCAACUUCACUCAGCAGAUGACAGCUCGUGUAGUUGGUGGCACAGCAGACGCAGGACGUCUAGAGAUAUUGUACGAUGGAACUUGGAACACUGUAUGUGGCUUUAAGUUUGGAACGGAGGAGGCCUUGGUAGCCUGCAGGAUGCUGGGAUUUAACAGCACAACAGCAGUAGCCGUGGGGUCAGCUAAGUACGGAGCAGGCUCUGGUCCUAUUCUGUUCAGUUACCUGCGGUGUGUGGGGCACGAAACCAGCCUGGUGCAGUGUGAACACUCGGGACUCUACAGACACGACUGUGAACAUUGGCAGGAUGUCGGCGUCAUGUGCAACAUCACCACACCAAUGACAGCCCGGUUACAUGGCGGGACGUCUGAGGCAGGACGUCUAGAAAUAUCGGUCAACGGAGAAUGGACUACAGUGUGUCAGGGUGGAUUUGAACAGAGCGAAGUAGAAGUCGCUUUAAGGAUGCUGGGACUCAACAGCACUGGACAAGCAGCUGUGAAGUCUCUUCUAUUUAACGAUGGCUCACGAUUUCAAUUCGGGUAUAUAAAUUGUCAAGGAAUGGAAACAGAUCUUCAACAAUGCGAUAUAGGACAACUUAACAAAAGCAGCUGCGUGGAUGUCGGUAUCAUUUAUGAGUUCAAAAGCUUUAGUCUGCGACUGACAGGACCUCGCCGUACAGGCAGUAACAUGGGGCUUGUAGAAGUGGAGAUUGGAAGUAAACAAUUUAGUACAGUGUGUAUAAACAAUGAAAAAACUGCCGCAGUCAUCUGCAGACAACUCAAUUUAACCUCAAAUGGUGCAGCACUGGUAGACGGCUCGGUGUUUGGAGGAAACAAAAUACCUUUACUGGAAGCUGGGUUUUUUUGUGAUGGUAACGAAACCAGUCUUUUUGAGUGUGGCUGGAAUAAAAGUAUGGAGCAUUGUUAUUCUGAUGACGUUGGCGUGGUUUGCAGCAAAGAUGACAGACUUUAUAUAGUUUCGGAGACCGAAAAGUACCCUUUUAUGGAAGGAACAAAGGGAAUUCUAAUGUGUGUAAAACCACGAAAGUACAUUCCGGUAGUUGAAUACACAUGGUCAGGCAAAGGUGAUGGUCCUUCUCGAGGAAAUCGUCUGUUCUACGAUAAUCUGACGAGAGAGUACAAUGGGCGUAAAGUAUUUUGUGAAACCUCUAAUCCUGACGGUGCCUCUGGUCCUGGUGAACGCCUACAGAGUGGACUUUUUGUGUUAAACGUUUACUAUAAGCCGUUGAUUACAAUAACAUGGACUAACAACACCGGGGAACAACAGCCCUUGUCAAGUCUUUCUGAGUUAAACCCUGGACACAACGUGACCCUGUGGUGUGAGGCUGACAGCAACCCUCCCCCCGCGUCCAUCACGUGGUCAGGAAGAGUGAACAGCACGACUGGGGAGUUACGGAUCCUAGCGGCAGACCACGUGACACACAGCGGUGUCUACACCUGUACCGUCGUCACUCGCACCGUUGAUGAUGACGACAGACUUCCACUGACCACAUCUAACCACAUCACCCUCGGUGUUCAAGGUUGACAUUUACCCUCAUUGUCCAGAAGCUAAUGCAAAAGUAUUUUUAAAUGAGUUGCAUAAUAGCAUUACAAACACGUUUUCCUCUGUCUACACAAAGAAGUAAGUGUGUAACACUUUGAUCAUGACACAUGUACACAACAGUUGCCAAAUGUUUUGCGUUUUGUUGCCGCCAGCAGUGCGACUUUCCGUUUUUCAUUAUUUCUCUAUUGAUGUGACCAACGCCAUUUUACCAUCCACCAGAAGAAAGACCAGUAACAGGUAAGUGUUUAAAAAUUACACCUUCAAAGAGACUUUAUAAAACUGACAUAUUUUAGUUUUUUUAAAUUCUUUCUUGAUCCUUAUACAGUCUCUUAUACUCCUUUUUACAUGAUAUUUUAACUUGUUUGCAGAUAUGAAUGUGUAUGGCAGUAUCAAAUAAAUGUAAUUUUAUCUGACACGCAGGUUAGAACGUGUGUCUUUACGACAGUGUGUGUGUGUGUGUGUGUUUCCUAGGAAAAAGAUUUGUAAUUAGUAUUUUGUAGGUGUUUCAAAGUAGAUUUUCGUACAGGAAUAGAAAUGGGAAAUAUUAUGUAAAACGUUUGAUGCAUAAUUUUUAUUGAAAUGAUGCACAGUUAAGUGGCAACAACUGUGGCUCUAUUUAAAAGAUCAGAAUCGACAAAUUAAUUAAUAGAACACCUUUAUUUUGCAAUUUAUGUAUCAAUUAGAGUGCAGAAAUUGAUAACAGUACCCUGUUUCAGCACACCAUCUCUUCCAAAUAUCUCACCGACAAGCAGAAAAACCGAUGGUGUUCAACUGUGAGCAACAUAAUGUCAGUCUGGAUGUUCCUGACAUACCUGUCCAAGUCACUGACGCCUUGCCACCCGAGUCUUGUUGUUCGGCAUCAGAGGUUCGGCAGAAGCUCCUAUGCUUAUCAGGACAGUGUUUGGAAUUAUUCAUCUGUCUAGUGUGACCCUUUGUCUAUAAUGAUAGCCUGCAAUUUUUCUCUCGCCCACUGGAAUGUACAGUUGGUCUAGACGAUAAAGGAGAUGCGGACUCGGGCAUGGUGACAACAUCUGUAAAGGUCUCUCCUACGGGUGAUUGUCUCCCCUGCACUAAUACCUCGAAAUGUUGAAGUUAAUCAUAUAAAGGUGCAAUAAACUUUUGGCAAACGUUGACGUUCUUGGACUCUAAA